rnacentral:rRNA from 1 species
GACGAACCGUCCAAACGUUAUUCGGUAUCACUGGGCUUAAAGAGUUCGUAGGCGGCUAUGUAGGUCAGAUGUGAAAUCCCACGGCUCAACCGUGGAACUGCGUUUGAAACCACAUAGCUUGAGGGAGAUAGAGGUGAGCGGAACAGAUGGUGGAGCGGUGAAAUGCGUUGAUAUCAUCUGGAACACCGGUGGCGAAAGCGGCUCACUGGAUCUCUUCUGACGCUGAGGAACGAAAGCUAGGGUAGCGAACGGG